GACGAACGCUGGCGGCGUGCUUAACGCAUGCAAGUCGAACGGAAAGGCCCUGCUUUUGUGGGGUGCUCGAGUGGCGAACGGGUGAGUAACACGUGAGUAACCUGCCCUUGACUUUGGGAUAACUUCAGGAAACUGGGGCUAAUACCGGAUAGGAGCUCCUGCUGCAUGGUGGGGGUUGGAAAGUUUCGGCGGUUGGGGAUGGACUCGAGGCUUAUCAGCUUGUUGGUGGGGUAGUGGCUUACCAAGGCUUUGACGGGUAGCCGGCCUGAGAGGGUGACCGGCCACAUUGGGACUGAGAUACGGCCCAGACUCCUACGGGAGGCAGCAGUGGGGAAUAUUGCACAAUGGGCGGAAGCCUGAUGCAGCAACGCCGCGUGCGGGAUGACGGCCUUCGGGUUGUAAACCGCUUUCGCCUGUGACGAAGCGUGAGUGACGGUAAUGGGUAAAGAAGCACCGGCUAACUACGUG
rnacentral:rRNA from 1 species